rnacentral:rRNA from 1 species
AUUCCAGCUCCAAUAGCGUAUAUUAAUGUUGUUGCAGUUAAAAAGCUCGUAGUUGGAUUCCUGGCCUGGGGUAGCCGGUCCGCCUUGCAAAAGGUGCGCACUGAGCGGCCUCGGCCAUCCUUGGGAAGAGCAGUCCUGGCAUUCAGUUGUCGGGGUUGGGAUUCCCGACGUUUACUGUGAAAAAAUCAGAGUGUUCAACGCAGGCUUACGCCUUGAAUACAUUAGCAUGGAAUAAUGAGAUAGGACCUUGGCGGUCUAUUUUGUUGGUUUGCACGCCGAGGUAAUGAUUAAAAGGGACGGUUGGGGUUCUUCGUAUUCAAUUGUCAGAGGUGAAAUUCUUGGAUUCAUGGAAGACGAACUGCUGCGAAAGCGUCGAACAAGGACGUUCUCAUCA